rnacentral:lncRNA from 1 species
GGCGGGAAAGUGGAAAACUAUCGGCGGUGGCCCAGGCUCGGUGGCUCACUCCUGGAAUCCCAGCACUUUGGGAGGCCAAGGUGGGGGGAUCACGAGGUCAGGGGAUCGAGACCAUCCUGGCUAACAGGUGAAACCCUGUCUCUACUAAAAAUACAAAAAAAUUAGCCAGGCGUGGUGGAGGCGCCUGUAGUCGCAGCUACUCGGGAGGCUGAGGCAGGAGAAUGGCGUGAACCCAGGAGGCGGAGCCUGCAGUGAGCCGAGAUUGCUGCACUGCACUCCAGCCUGGGCGACAGAGGAAGACUCCGUCUCAAAAAAAAAAAAAAAAAAAGAAAGAAAACUACAGGCGGGGACGGCUUCUCGUCUUUCAGGAGAUUGUCAUGGUUGAGAGACUGGACUGUACCUACCCACUAUGAAUGAGCAGAACACCAUAGCUAAUAUUAACUUUCUGCAGGCAAUUGAAAACACUGCCUCAGUAUCUGAACACAAGAUUGGAGAGGACGAAGGCCCUGAGGUCCAAGAACAUUGAAACCUGACAGUGGAUGCCAAUGGCUGUGGGGAGGAGCUGGGCGAGGCGCCCAGGUUGUCGUCUGCCCGGCAACGUGGGAGCCUGCAGCACUUUCCUGCAAAGCUCUAUUUUAUCUUUUUAAAUAAAAAUGGUUACUGAUAAGUGA